GAUGAACGCUGGCGGCGUGCCUAAUACAUGCAAGUCGAGCGAACGGACGAGAAGCUUUCUUCUCUGAUGUUAGCGGCGGACGGGUGAGUAACACGUGGAUAACCUACCUAUAAGACUGGGAUAACUUCGGGAAACCGGAGCUAAUACCGGAUAAUAUUUUGAACCGCAUGGUUCCAAAGUGAAAGACGGUCUUUCUUUCACUUAUAGAUGGAUCCGCUCUGCAUUAGCUAGUUGGUAAGGUAACGGCUUACCAAGGCAACGAUGCAUAGCCGACCUGAGAGGGUGAUCGGCCACACUGGAACUGAGACACGGUCCAGACUCCUACGGGAGGCAGCAGUAGGGAAUCUUCCGCAAUGGGCGAAAGCCUGACGGAGCAACGCCGCGUGAGUGAUGAAGGUCUUCGGAUCGUAAAACUCUGUUAUUAGGGAAGAACAUAUGUGUAAGUAACUGUGCACAUCUUGACGGUACCUAAUCAGAAAGCCACGGCUAACUACGUG
rnacentral:rRNA from 1 species